UAGUACGGUUUGGUCCUCUGAGUUUGAUCCUGGCUCAGGAGGUCGGUGCUUUGAUCCGGUUCCCAAAAAUGUGGGCAAACGUUCCACCUUUUUUUCCCCCCCUAUUUGGUCCCAGAGGAUGACCACCCACACUGGAACUGACACUUUCUCCCCCCUCCUACUGGAGCCAUCACUGGGGAAUAUUGCACAAUGGGCGCACGCCUGAUUCAUCCCUGCCGCGUGUAUAAAGAAUGCCUUCUGGUUGUAAAGUUUUUCGGGGGGGAGGAAUGUGUUGUGGUUAAUAACAGCGUGAAAAGACUGACGUUCAGUUGUGAAAGCGUGGGGAGCAAACAGAAUUAGAUACCUUUUAGUCCACGCCGUAAACGAUGUCGAUUUGGAGGUUGUGCCCUUGAGGCGUGGCUUCCGGAGCUAACGCGUUAAAUCGACCGCCUGGGGAGUACGGCCGCAAGGUUAAAAUUCAAAUGAAUUGACGGGGGCCCGCCCAAGCGGUGGAGCAUGUGGUUUAAUUGGAUGCAACGCGAAGAACCUUACUUGGUCUUGACAUCCACAGAACUUUCCAGAGAUGGUUUGGUGCCUUCGGGAACUGUGAGCCAGGUGCUGCAUGGCUGUCGUCAGCUCGUGUUGUGAAAUGUUGGGUUAAGUCCCGCAACGAGCGCAACCCUUAUCCUUUGUUGCCAGCGGUCAGGCCGGGAACUCAAAGGAGACUGCCAUACAAAAAGGAGGAAGGUGGGGAUGACGUCAAGUCAUCAUGGCCCUUACGACCAGGGAAAAAAGAAAAAAACAAUGGAACAUACAAAGAGAAGCCACCUCGCGAGAGCAAGGUAAAAAGGAAAAAAGCGGGGUUCCUUAAGGUUUUAAUCCGGGCCCAGAAAGUUAAAAAAAGGUAACCAAAAUGGGAUCCUUUAGAUUUUGCCCCGGGCCCGGUAAGUGGUAACAAGGUAACCAGUAUGGGAUCCCUAGAGUUUGAUCCUGGCUCAGGAAGUCGUAACAAGGUAACCAGUAUGCUCCUCUAGA
rnacentral:rRNA from 1 species